AAUCCUGCGGUAUCUAUUAAAUAAUGUUAAUUAUAUAUAAUUAAAAAGAAAUACGUUAGCCUAUGUUUUUAUAAAUAGCGCCUCAUUGAAGUUUACAUUUAAAAUAAUGAAGGUAUGGGUUAGUUAGGGACGUCCCAGGGAUCCCGGAUAGCACUAUCCGUCAGGGGGUUGCGAAGGAGUCAGACGGAAUCAAGUGCAAAAUGUGCAUAAUUAUGGAAUUUAUUUACAGGUGCAGAAGGUUAGCUUCCUUUUAGGCAGAGUGCCGACAAUUCUUCACACAGCUGAGUUUAGCAGAGCCACAGCUGGGACAACAUGACACUCCAGCCUAAAUUUUCCCUAAAAUGAGCCACCUGAGGCUAAUAAGGUAAAAAAAUAAAAUAAUUACCCAACCCUUAACACUGGGAUAAUCCAAAAUGAACAUAAACAGGUAUUUCCUCAGUUUAAAUAAAGAUCUCACUCAAUACUUCACUAGUUUCAAUAUCACUAGCAAAUACAUAAUACAUUUCAACACAUCAGGACAUAAUGUUACAUAAAUAUUCAACGAAGAAAGAUAUUAGGCAAACACCCAUCAACAAAGAACAUUGUAAUUACUAAGCGCAAGCACCUGUUGGAUAAAAUGUGGACGUGACCAAAGCGCGCCAUCCAGGUCGAAACAGUUUACAAACAAUCGAAAUUGGCGAGUACAGACAGAGAGGUCCGACUCGGCGGAAGAUCUGCCUCCCUACAUCAGAUUCCCAAUAUCCUGUGGUCGAAUGAGGAUGGAACCUCAGGUCUAGACACAGACAGAGGAGGUCAGAGGUCACAGCUGCAAUAUAUUGGGCCAUUCUCCUUCAGCUCAACGCCCCCGUCUGCCUGGGCCACAGCCCAUCUCUGACCACGUUCCAGGACCCAACGUCUGUUUUUACCGUUGUUUAAGCUCUGUCACGAAAGCGACUGUGGGUCCUAGAUCCAGCCAUUCCCCCCCAUCCUGUCAACUGUCUACCCUCUCACCCCUCCUC